GAUGAACGCUAGCUACAGGCUUAACACAUGCAAGUCGAGGGGCAUCAGGAAGAAAGCUUGCUUUCUUUGCUGGCGACCGGCGCACGGGUGAGUAACACGUAUCCAACCUGCCCUUUACUCGGGGAUAGCCUUUCGAAAGAAAGAUUAAUACCCGAUGGCAUAAUGAUUCCGCAUGGUUUCAUUAUUAAAGGAUUCCGGUAAAGGAUGGGGAUGCGUUCCAUUAGGUUGUUGGUGAGGUAACGGCUCACCAAGCCUUCGAUGGAUAGGGGUUCUGAGAGGAAGGUCCCCCACAUUGGAACUGAGACACGGUCCAAACUCCUACGGGAGGCAGCAGUGAGGAAUAUUGGUCAAUGGGCGCUAGCCUGAACCAGCCAAGUAGCGUGAAGGAUGAAGGCUCUAUGGGUCGUAAACUUCUUUUAUAUAAGAAUAAAGUGCAGUAUGUAUACUGUUUUGUAUGUAUUAUAUGAAUAAGGAUCGGCUAACUCCGUGCCAGCAGCCGCGGUAAUACGGAGGAUCCGAGCGUUAUCCGGAUUUAUUGGGUUUAAAGGGAGCGUAGGUGGACUGGUAAGUCAGUUGUGAAAGUUUGCGGCUCAACCGUAAAAUUGCAGUUGAUACUGUCAGUCUUGAGUACAGUAGAGGUGGGCGGAAUUCGUGGUGUAGCGGUGAAAUGCUUAGAUAUCACGAAGAACUCCGAUUGCGAAGGCAGCUCACUGGACUGCAACUGACACUGAUGCUCGAAAGUGUGGGUAUCAAACAGGAUUAGAUACCCUGGUAGUCCACACAGUAAACGAUGAAUACUCGCUGUUUGCGAUAUACAGUAAGCGGCCAAGCGAAAGCAUUAAGUGUUCCACCUGGGGAGUACGCCGGCAACGGUGAAACUCAAAGGAAUUGACGGGGGCCCGCACAAGCGGAGGAACAUGUGGUUUAAUUCGAUGAUACGCGAGGAACCUUACCCGGGCUUAAAUUGCAGUGGAAUGAUGUGGAAACAUGUCAGUGAGCAAUCACCGCUGUGAAGGUGCUGCAUGGUUGUCGUCAGCUCGUGCCGUGAGGUGUCGGCUUAAGUGCCAUAACGAGCGCAACCCUUAUCUUCAGUUACUAACAGGUCGUGCUGAGGACUCUGGAGAGACUGCCGUCGUAAGAUGUGAGGAAGGUGGGGAUGACGUCAAAUCAGCACGGCCCUUACGUCCGGGGCUACACACGUGUUACAAUGGGGGGUACAGAAGGCAGCUAGCGGGUGACCGUAUGCUAAUCCCAAAAUCCUCUCUCAGUUCGGAUCGAAGUCUGCAACCCGACUUCGUGAAGCUGGAUUCGCUAGUAAUCGCGCAUCAGCCACGGCGCGGUGAAUACGUUCCCGGGCCU
rnacentral:rRNA from 1 species